rnacentral:lncRNA from 1 species
AGGUUUGGACGAACAGAUUGAGUUUUAUGUACUUCAUAGAUAUGGUCCACUUUCCCUUUGUGGUGCUGUAACAAAAUACGUGAUGGGUGGGGAAGGAUUUCUAAAAGAAAGGUUUAUGUGCUCAGGUCUUGGCGCCCACGUCUGGUGAGGGGCCUCUGGCGGGGUCACUUGUGGCUGGCCGGUGGCGCCCUCGGCUGGAGCACGAGCGAAGCAUGACCGGAAAGGCAGGAAGAGAGCGGGUCAAGGAGCCCCCAGGCUGCAGCUCCCGGCUGCUGGAGACAGCCGUGACCCACGGGCACGGGCGGACUUCGGUGGCCUCGUGACCAUCUGCUGGCCGCCUCUUCCACUCCACGCCGCGGGACCAGGGGCAGUGCUUCCACCCGUAACCGCAGGGAGCAAACCGUCUCAGACCAUGGUCACGGACCCAACACCAAACUCAACACGGCCACUUACUCAAAGGAAUUAGGGAGCCGGGCUGUCAAGAAGGGGUGCAGUGUCCAGUGAGCUGUGCUCUGAACCGAGAGGCUCAUCUGUGUGGAAAGGGCCUGGUGGAGAGAAGAGGCUGAGUGAGCCGUCACCUGUGCAGCAGGCCCUCAGCUUUGGGCUUUUGGCUGCGAGCCAUGUGGCCCUUGCUGCUUGUGGUCUACGUUAGGGAUCUGGAGCUGAGAAGAGUUUUGGUUUUUGUUUUGGGGUUUGAGGGUUAAAACUAAGGCCUUAUGCAUCCCAAGCAUGUACUGUACCAUGGAGCGCCCUCCCCAGGCCAGGAAGAAGAUCUGAUUUUCUUUUUAAUACACCAGGAUGGGAUGGGAAAAUAAAAAUGUUUUACACUUGCAAGAGGAUAGACCAGCUAAAUAAAAAGCCACUGUGUGUGUGUGUCGGGGUGUGUGUGUGUGUGUGUGUGUGUGUGUCUCUGAUCUCUGUAUUUCUGUUUCUAAGGAUAUCAGGCCUAUGAGGCUAGUGCCCCCAACUUGAUAACCUGUUUUUGUUUUUGAGACAGUCUCAAUAUGUAGCCCAGGCUGGCCUCAAACUCCCAGUGAUCCUCCUGCCUCUGCCUCCCAAGUGCUGGGAUUACAGGUGUGUGCCACUGCUGCGCCUUGAUGGCCUUAUUUAACUUUACUUACCUUUGAAAGGUCCUAUCUCCAAAU